UCUGGAUAGAGAUAGCUGUGAAUCAACAACAUGAGUACCUGGUUGGAAGCCACCAGUGUGAGUUUCCCUGGGUGCGGUGACUUGUAAUUGAUCACAUUCUCCACGGGAACUCUGCAAACUCCGCUCAUUUCAGAAAUAUUGGGUCUUAUUUGGGACACAGGGCUCCAAAGCCAAGAAUUCAGAAAAUCAUUGCCUCUUUGUGAUCUGCAUGUAUAUUCUUGCCAGAAUCAACAAAUCCUGAAGAUUCUCUAUUUAAGAAAUGGAAGGAAAAUUAUCCUUUGCCAUGAUGAUAUCUCCAAAAGCCAAAGGCAUACAUCAGACCCCGGAGAAGCCAAGAUUUCAGCUGGAUGUGUUCUUGGGGGUGCUGGAAGACCUGUGUUACUGUAGACCACAGCACAGACUGAACAGAGAGGCUGCAGAAUGUGUCAUCAGAGCUUGGAGACAGUGAUGGAAUUGAAUCAAUAAAUGUCUCUGUAAAUCUCUAA